rnacentral:rRNA from 1 species
GUCGAACGCUGGCGGCGUGCUUAACACAUGCAAGUCGAACGAAGUGGCGAACGGGUGAGUAAAACGUGGGUAACUCGCCCUUCUGUUUGGGAUAAGCCAUGGAAACGGGGCCUAAUACCGAAUAUAGGGGGAUGGGCGCGCGGCCUAUUAGCUUGUUGGGGGGGUGAUGGCCUACCAAGGCGGUGACGGGUAGGUGGCCUGAGAGGGUGACCGGCCACAUUGGGACUGAGAUACGGCCCAGACUACUAAGGGGGGGAGCAGUGGGGGAUAUUGCACAAUGGGCGAAAGCCUGAUGCAGCGAGGCCGCGUGGGGGAUGAAGGCUUUCGGGUUGUAAACCUCGUUCGCAAGCGAACGGGUAGGUGGAGAAGAAGCGCCGGCUAACUACGUGCCAGCAGCCGCGGUAAUAC